rnacentral:lncRNA from 1 species
GUUUGAUCAAAAGGAGAAUCCAGGUCAGAUGACAGUGUUUCUCUGUGUAGUCCUGGCUGUCCUAGAACUCACCAGGCUGGCCUUGAACUCAGAGAUCCACCUACCUCUACUUCCCACGUGCCAGGAUGAAAAGCAUGAGCCACCCCUGCCCAGCCACCAUUGAUCUUACUGGGUAGAGAUUGAACUGUAGAUGUUCCACACUGCAUAUAGAGAAGUGGCCACAACAGAAAACUCUUCACUGUGCCACAUCACUUCAAAG